rnacentral:rRNA from 1 species
UACAGAGGGUGCGAGCGUUGUCCGGAAUCACUGGGCGUAAAGGGCGCGUAGGCGGCCUGGUAAGUAGGGGGUGAAAUCCUGCGGCUCAACCGCAGGGCUGCCUUCUAAACUGUCAGGCUGGAGCACGGUAGAGGCAGAUGGAAUUCCCGGUGUAGCGGUGGAAUGCGUAGAGAUCGGGAAGAACUCAGUGGCGAAGGCGGUCUGCUGGGCCGUUGCUGACGCUGAGGCGCGACAGCGUGGGGGAGCAA